rnacentral:lncRNA from 11 species
GGGAUAGGAAAUCUAACACAUUUUGUUCUGUAAUUUUAUUUGAAAAACUAUAGGAAAAGGCAGAUCAAGAUGUAAAAGCAAGAGAAAACUCUAUUCAUUGCAGGAAAAGAGGAAGUGUCAUUUAAGAAAACAUCUGUACUUCAAUUCAAAUAUCACCAUGGUACACGAA